rnacentral:rRNA from 1 species
ACGUAGGGGGCGAGCGUUGUCCGGAUUUAUUGGGCGUAAAGAGCUCGUAGGCGGCUUGGUAAGUCGGCCGUGAAAACCAGAGGCUCAACCUCUGGAUGUCGGUCGAUACUGCUAUGGCUAGAGUCCGGUAGAGGAGAGUGGAAUUCCCGGUGUAGCGGUGAAAUGCGCAGAUAUCGGGAGGAACACCAGUAGCGAAGGCGGCUCUCUGGGCCGGAACUGACGCUGAGGAGCGAAAGCGUGGGUAGCAAACAGG